rnacentral:tRNA from 1 species
GCCCGCGUUGUCUAAUGGUUAUGACGUCAGACUUCUAUGACUAUCAGGAUGCGAUGGACCGGAUCUGGAGGUUGCGGGUUCGAGUCCCGCCGUGGGUU